CUACUCUGGCCACAGUUGUCUGGACUCAGGAUUGGCCCCCAAGUGAAGGCAAUCACCUCUAAACCAGGCAUAAAGAAGACCAGCCACCAGUUAGGUGGCCCAUCAGGAAAACUGUGCCCCAUAAAAGGCUUUCUUAUUGAAUAGUGAAUGACAGAUACAUUUAGAUCUUCUCACUUGGGAUGUUGUAAAUGUAAGUCACAGAGAGUAGUCACUAGAAGCAGAGAUAGCAGCUGAAGUUGAGACUGUAUAUGAGGAAGAAGCAGAGAGAUGCUGAUUCAGGAGAAUGGCAAAAUUAACUAGAGUGUGGGCAAUAGAUGCUUGUUAAUGAGAGGAUGAGCGAGGCACCAGAGCCUGUUGCUGGAUCAUAAAAACAGCAGUUAAUUUCUGGAAUCAACACUAGUUCUGACGGUUGAUAUGGUUUUCUGAAGUUUCCUUAUUUCCUAAAUAAACCCUCAGCAUUUGUAGGGCUCUGACUCUGAACAUGUCCUGGUACUUUAUGUUUCACACAAGAGCCCAGCUAGCACAAAGGAAUUCCUGUUGUUUUGGCUUUGAUUAUAUCUACAGAAGAAGGAUCUUGUGAAGGAUAGGCCAGAAUGAUCUUCAUAAAGCAAGAUAAAAGGAUGUGCACAAGGGUCUGCAUGUAUGUGGCUGCUUUCCCAGAAGAGUGCAACAGUGGAGGGUUUGUGUGCUUGUCUUGGGGGAGAGCAAAGAAAAGGAAAGGAAAAGGAGAGCCAUGGAGACUAUUCAAUGCAGCCACCAAGCUUUGGAAGAAAACCCCUGAAGACAGUACAAAGUGCGGCCACCACAAGCAAUGUGAGUGUCUAGAUCAGGGUUUUUCAGUGUACACACUGCUAACCACCAGUUUAGGAUCAUCUGAUUUAUUAAAAAUGAAGAUUUCUAGAUUACCUUGGACCAACCGAAUGGAAUCUCUGGGCGAGGGAACUUGCAGUUUUGUUAAGUAUGCAAGGUGCUUUGUGAAGCAUCUCCCUUUGAGACCCACUGCCACUGGCCCCAGGUCAAGGAAAGAAAGAAAAUAUUGGGGAGUGGGUGCUGGCUUCUGAGAAAGCACCCAUGACUGAAGGGUGGAAAAGCAUGGCAUAACACGCGCAUACAUUGCUGUAGGAGUGAAAAGGAAGGGGAGGGAGGGUGUGUGAGGUACAACUAGAGUAUAGGGUGCACAGAACAGGGAUCAGGAUGCAGGUUUGCUCUGGGAAUCAUGAGCCUCGAUGAUAACUGAGACCAUGGGGAUGGAUUAGGUUUCUGCUAAUGCCAGAAUUUUUGCAAUCAGCAUAAAAAAUGGUAUAGAAAGUCACCCCCCUCCCUUUUAUUAUAGUGCUUUUAAGAUUUAUAGAGUACCAACUACAGUGAGAACAUUGCAUUAGCAGCUGUCAAAGAAAACAAGAGCUUAUCAUGCACUUGAAGUUGAACCAAAACAAAAUCUGUAAUUUAUAUCUAAGAGUGACUACAAAGCAACAUACAAUAAGUGCAAAUUCAUUCAUUUAACAAAAACUCAUCGUGUCUGUUACGUGCAGGCUCCACAAAGGUGUGGUUUAUCAGAAGGUGACCUGGCGAGCUUAAAGGCAGAUUUUGAAAGAAAGUGAAAACAGAUUACAGAGAGUUUAAGGCACUCUAAAUAAGGAUUUAGAGUCACAGAGUUCAGAAGGAGGGGACGUAACUUCAUUCAUCCAACAUUCCAUAAAUAUUUAUUGAGUGCCUACUGUGUUGUAGACACUGGAAAUAUAGCAGUAAGUAAAACAGACGAAAAAAAAUCCCUGCCCUCCUGGAGCUUAAUAUUCUGGUAGGAGAAAGACAAGAAAACACAGUAAAUAAGUUAUAUAGUAUAUCAGGAAAUGGUAAGUGCUUUGGAAAAAAUAAAGCAGGAAGAAGGACAGAAUUUGGGGGUGAG
ensembl:lncRNA